rnacentral:rRNA from 1 species
UACGGAGGGUGCGAGCGUUGUCCGGAAUCAUUGGGCGUAAAGGGUGCGUAGGUGGCGCGCUAAGUCAGGUGUGAAAUUUCGGAGCUUAACUCCGAAACUGCAUUGAUACUGGUGAGCUUGAGUCCGGAAGAGGUGAGUGGAACUGCGAGUGUAGAGGUGAAAUUCGUAGAUAUUCGCAAGAACACCAGUGGCGAAGGCGGCUCACUGGUCCGGUACUGACGCUGAGGUGCGAAAGCGUGGGGAGGCAAACAGGAUU